rnacentral:rRNA from 1 species
AGAAUCAACGCUGGCGGCGCGCUUAACACAUGCAAGUCGAACGAGAAAGGGGAGCAAUCCCUGAGUAAAGUGGCGUACGGGUGAGUAACACGUGGGUAAUCCACUCUUUGGUGGGGAAUAACCCUGGGAAACCGGGGCUAAUACCGCAUAAGCCUGCAAAGGGAAAGGUGAAAAUCGCCGAAGAAGGAGCCCGCGGCUGAUUAGCUAGUUGGUGGGGUAAAAGCUCACCAAGGCGAAGAUCGGUAGCCGGCCUGAGAGGGCACGACGGACCGACGACCUGGACACUGAAACACGGGCCAGACUCCUACGGGAGGCAGCAGUGGGGAAUCUUGCACAAUGGGGGGCAAACCCUGAUGCAGCGACGCGCGUGAGCGAUGAAGACCUCCGGGUGGUAAGGACUCUUUCGGUCGAGAACGGAAUAAUAGACGACCGUGAAGAAGAAGAUGCGCGUAACUAACGUAGCUAGACGACGCGCC